ensembl:lncRNA
GCCAGACAUGAGGGACACAGGGGACAUGAGCACCUAAGCAGGAGAUGAGACUCUGCUGCCUGGCUCCACUGAGCUGGACAACACAGCCCCUGGCGCCCCUUCAAACCAGUGGGUCGCUGUCUCCACGUAUUUGGCAGUCAGUUUGAUUCUUUUUUCUUCAUGGAUUUGGCCACAUAAAAUAACUUGAGGGAGGAGGGCAUCUUGAAGGCAGAGGCCACAAGGACAGCAGAGCAUAGCUGGAGAGGGACAAGCCUUGGAACUGGACUGAUUCGUUUUUGCCAAGUCGUGUCCAGAUGUGAUGAGCUGACUCAUUGAAAAAGACCUUGAUGCUGGGAAAGACUGAGGGCAAGAGGAGAAGGGUGCAACAGAGGAUGAGAUGGUUGGAUGGCAUCAUCAACUCAAUGGACGAGGCAGCCAUCCAGGACUGGGAAGGGGAAGCAAGAAUAUUCUAAGCUCCACUGAGUGGUCCCUGGUGGAAGAUGAAGAAAAAUGAGAAUGUGAAUCCUUGGUGGCUUAGAGAAGCCUAAAAGACUGGAUAUUAGGACCAGCCUAGGAAAGAAGUAACAAAAGACUCAAAGCCUCCAAGGAGCAGAGCUUGUUUGCCGAACUGUGAAAGCUAAUAGGCACCCCCGAUGGAGCCACUAGACAGCAGAGUGCUGAGAAGUUUCGGGGUGAACUUGAGCGAGGAGCCUGUGCCUGCUUCCAGUCGAGAGAUUGCCCAUGACAGCAGGGCUUGAGGGGCCAUGGUGCACAGGGGUGGAACUAAGAUGGGGCGACUCCAGGGCAAGCUCUGCUCUCACUGCAGUUAGAAGGUGAAGACACCACCUCUUCUUACAGCUCUGCAUGGAAAAGCACGGAGGUCAGCUUCUAAGAAGGAGCUGUAGGACUUGUCCAGGAGGCCACUGGCUCACACAACAGGGUGUCCAACCUGGAAAAGUCAUUGUCACUUUGAAUUGCUGUUGGUGCCAGAAAGAGACAUAGCUACCCUUCUGGGAGAAGUCAUUCUCAUUGGAGAGGGACAGGGGAAAGCUCAACACAGUCAGCUUUGUGGUGGUCACUGGGGCAACAGAGGUGAUCAGCAUCACAUGGAGCCACCAGGAACCAGUAAUGCCAGAGAUACUUCGCCAGCAGUAAUGUGUAGACAUUCAGGUCAGCAGUAAAUCACUUGCCGAAACAAUCAUCACCUUCAGAUGCUCAGCUGCAGUCCCAGAUGUUGUAAUCUCUCUUGGCUUCCUUUGAUACUCUGGAGAGAAGUUUCCUUGGAGAUCUUCCAAAUUCAGGGUGAUGGAUCCCUCUGACUGGGCAAAAGGAAGAUCGUUGAAAGGAAAUGUGAAGAAGAAGGGAAUAAUACUCCGUUUCAAGAGAUUUUUCUCCCAACAGUUACUUUCAACAGGGCUGCAGUCACCCGAAGGCUCAACUGAGGCUGGAGGAUCCACGUCUAAGGUGCCUGGAAGACUGGUUCAUGGCCAAAGAACACGUAGAGCCGGUAACCAGGGACCUGCGACGGCCACCAUCCCCUGAUGUGAUGUAUGCACAGUGAUGGAAGAAGUGAUCAUAAUAUAAACAAGGCUCAUCUCGCUGUGUUUUUGUGCAAGUUCCAAAUCCACACGCAAACCUCACCCUUAGCUUGUACUCAUUCCCACUGAGGAAAAAGCGAAGGAGAAAAGGCUUGUUGGGAGCCUGACGUUGGCGCGUGAACUUAGCGAAUGCCGUGUGACUUGUGGGCACAGUAGACUUCUUUCCAGAUGGAGGAUGACGAGGAAGCAACACGGUUUCUGCAAAUUAAGGCACCUGAUGCAUGACUCUCAGUGUGACUUUUCUGUCUCCGUCGGACCCACUUUGGAUUUCUUGCCUUAGUUUCUUUUGGGGGACUAUUUUCCUUCAUUGUAAUUUCGCUACUUAAUUACCCCAGCCUGUCUUCUGAGGCAGCAUGCCAGGGAGAUCAAGUUUAUUUUUGAAAGUCUAUCACCUUUCCUUCUUUCAUCCCUCACCCCUUCUUCCUUUCCUCUUCACCCCUCCCGCAAAAACCUCUGAAACAUUAACCACCCCUACAUGGUACUCCUUGUGUAAUCCACUCAAGCCUGUCUUUUUUUUUUUUUUUUUUUCAGUUUCUAAUUAUUUUCUACUCUGUGCCAGUGGUCAGCAAACUUAAUUCUGUAAAGGACCACAGUAAAUAGUUUCAGCUUUGUGGGCCAUGCUGUCUCUGUUGCAACUGCUCCAGUCUGUAAUUGUGUCAUCCAAGUAGUCCUCAGCAGUGCAUAUCUCCACUCCAGAAGAAUCAUCCUGCAUCUAAGAAACAUCAUGGCAAAACCAAUAUAUAAAAAAAAGAAGCAACAUCAGUCAUCUUCUUUCACAAAAUACACUGCUUCAUCUAUGCCGUGGAGUGAAUUUGUGCUGUCCAAAUUGACAUGUUGAAGCCCUCACCCCUAAUUUGACAGUACUUGGCGACAGCCUGUGGUAGAUAAUUUCAUUUAGGUGAGGUCAGGAGGGUGGAGUGCCCAAGAGAGGGUUAUUAUUAUUAUUAAAAAAGAGACACUAGAUAGUUCUUU